GAAGAAAAGCUCUAACAUCACUGAAGUAACCAGCUCUUCACCAACUCCAAAAGAAAUUAGAGACUGAUACCGAAUCGAACAUCGGAUCCAAGAUGACAAUGAAGAUUGUGUUUGUGGUACUGGUGGCUUGCUUUGCCGUCAUCAAUUGUCAACUCAACUGCGUAAUUGAAAAAACUACUGGAAAUCAGGCCCUUGACGCGUGCGUUGUCAAGUUUGGUUCCUACACCAGCCUUCAAGAACUAUGUGCACUGCCCUGCAUGUAUCGACGAUUUUAAAGCAAUAUUCGACAUGUGUAAUUAUUCACCAAACCCAGUAACUCAGACUUGCAGUGGUGCUCCGUCUAUCCUUGCCAAAUUGAUGGCUCUGGCCAAACUGUUUUAAACAGCCCCGAAAAGACAUGUAUAUAGUCUACAUGUACUUAGAUUCAGACACGUACAGUAUAAUUAUAGUGCAAUCAGUUAUAUAUAGAGUAUACAUGCAUGUAUACAAUGUCAUUAUAAUUAUACAUAAUAAUAUAUAAUCUAGAUGGUCAGAGCUAUGUUGUGCGAUCGUUUUUAGAAUUUGUCGUAUCA